CCAGAAGGGAGAACGAACGAACGAACGAACGAACGAGUAUUCAAGGGGGAGUGGGAACUGACUGUAAUAAGUGACGAUGGGGACGACGGCGAUGGCGACGACGCAAGCCUACGGGGAGCCAUGGUACUGGGACAAGCGCUACUCCGGCGAAUGGGGGCCGUUCGAUUGGUACCAGAAGUACCCCUCCCUCGCCCCUCUCGUCAACCUCUACAUCCCCCGCCACCGCACCAAGGUCCUCGUCGUCGGCUGCGGCAACUCAGCUUUUAGUGAGGGCAUGGUGGAAGAUGGAUACGAGGAAGUGAUCAACAUCGAUGUAUCGUCUGUCGUCAUUGAAGCCAUGAGGAAGAAAUACUCUGAUUGUCCCCAGCUCAAAUAUAUGAAGAUGGAUGUUCGAGAUAUGCACGCUUUUCAGUCAGGUUGCUUUGAUGCUGUUCUGGAUAAAGGAACUCUGGAUUCCUUGCUCUGCGGAAGCAAUUCCCGGCAAAAUGCUGCUAAGAUGCUUGAGGAAGUAGCAAGUAUUUCUUCAUUUGUUCACCACAUAUUGAAGCAGUUGAUGACCCACUAUAGGGUUCUCAAGGACAGAGGAAUUUACAUCCUGUUUAAUACUGCUUGUAACUCGGGAUGCACAGAUUACAUAUGGAGCACCGAGUUAUCGUCUCCAUCUGCUCAGAGAUAUGAACAUCUGGACGAUAAAGCUCCAUGUGAUAGAGAAACUUGUCGUGGAAGGAAAGUCAGACAAGCCACUACGGAAGCUGACUGAUCCCAUUCCACUGGACAAUAAUGGAAGUUCCAUGGAAGACUUGCUUGGGAAAAACCCUGAUGUCCACUACAUAUAUGUCUGUACAAAGGUUGGCUCGACAGGCAGCAGCCAGAGCUGCGAAAGUGAAGUUGUAUGAUGAGAAUGAGAGGACCUACCGCUAUUCUUUCCAUGUACUUCACAUAUCCCACGUGUUUUGAGGAUUAUUUAUGAAUCUGAAUGAUAUUUGAUAGAUCUAAUGUUAGCCACUAAUUACAUUUCUAUGGUCUUGGCAGUGUCCUGUUUAUCAUACUGUAACCAAAUCACCACGUUGUAUUUCGAAAUCAAUUACUGA